GGGGCCUUAAUUUAAUGGUAGAAUGUUAGCUUUGCAAGCUAAUUGUGGGGGUUCGAGUCCUCUAGGUUCCA
rnacentral:tRNA from 1 species